rnacentral:rRNA from 1 species
CCUACGGGCGGCAGCAGUAGGGAAUCUUCCACAAUGGGCGAAAGCCUGAUGGAGCAACGCCGCGUGGGUGAAGAAGGUCUUCGGAUCGUAAAACCCUGUUGUUAGAGAAGAAAGUUCGUGCGAGUAACUGUUCACGUUUUGACGGUAUCUAUCCAGAAAGCCACGGCUAACUACGUGCCAGCAGCCGCGGUAAUACGUAGGUGGCAAGCGUUAUCCGGUUUUAUUGGGCGUAAAGGGAUCGUAGGCGGUCUUUUAAGUCUGGUGUGAAAGCCGUCGGCUUAACCGGAGUAGUGCAUUGGAAACUGGGAGACUUGAGUGCAGAAGAGGAGAGUGGAACUCCAUGUGUAGCGGUGAAAUGCGUAGAUAUAUGGAAGAACACCAGUGGCGAAGGCGGCUCACUGGGCUGUAACUGACGCUGAGGUACGAAAGCGUGGGUAGCAAACAGGAUUAGAUACCCGGGUAGUC